ACACGUAUGGCUAGAAACAGGAACAGAGGUCUGGAGCAAAACGAAGAAUAGACUUUACCGAGGAUGAUGCCAACAAAUCUAUCAGAUCAAAGGAACAUGAACAUAGUCCUUCCAAAGAAUACAAGAAAGACAAAACAGACAACAAAGAUCCAACAACCAAUUAUGGA